UCUUAUGGAUAGGCAAAGAAAGUGGUUUCUUGGGAUGGAAUCUAUUUCUGGUGAAGAUGCCAUGAA
rnacentral:pre_miRNA from 2 species